rnacentral:lncRNA from 1 species
GGGGGGGGCUGCGGCUCCAGCCCUCGCGGAGCUGGCCGGGGGGGCGGAUGCCGGCGCGGUGAAGCCGCCGCUCGGUGCCGGGGACGGCGUCGGUGGCCGGGCCGUGGAAAGGCUCAGUCUUCACCUCCACCGGCUCCUCCUUCACCGCCUCCUCCUUGAUGCCUACGGGGAGGGGGGGACGGAGAGGACGGGGCAGCUGGCGGGACCCCCCCCCGCUCCCCCGCGCCCCACGGACCAAGCCACCCAACCCCCUCCUGCUGAUCCUUCCUCCGUGGCCCUCUCCCAUGUCCCCAUUCCUCUAUUCCCAUGUCCCCUCUCCUGGUCCGUGGUCCCAUCCGUAGGUAUCUCACGGCCCCGGGUUCCUCAUGGUGCUCCAGCCCCAUCCCAUGUCUCUCCUCCCUCUCCUGGUCUGUGGUCCCAUCUGUAGAUAUCUCAUGGCCCUGGGUUCCUCAUGGUGGUCCAGCCCCAUCCCAUGUCCCUCCUCCCUCUCCUGGUCCCAUCCACAGGUAUCUCAUGGUCCCGGGUUCCUCACUGUGGUCCAGCCCCAUCCCCUUGUCCCUCUCCUGGUCCCAUCCAUAGGUAUCUCAUGGCCCUGGGUUCCUCAUGAUGGCCCAGCCCCAUCCCAUGUCCCUUCUCCUUCUCCUGGUCCCAGUGGUCCCAUAACCCUGUCCUGAAUGUGGUGCCCCCAUGUCCCUGGGUGGCCUUGGUACCCCCACAUCCCUGUCCUGGUCCCCACAUGUCCCUGUCCUGGUCCAGCUCCCCCACGUCCCUGUUCCAGUCUCCAAUGUCCCUGUCCUAGUCCCAGUUCCCCCAUGUCCCUUGGCCCUGUCCUGGUCCUGCCCAUGUCCCCAUCUCUGUCCUGGUCCUGUCCAUGUCACUGUCCCAAUCCCACCACGUCCCCGUCCUGCUCCCAGCCCCCUCUUACCCCUCUCCUGGUCCUGGGACCCCCUGUCACUUGUCCCAGACACCCACAUCCCUGCCCUGAUCCCGGUGCCACCGUCCCUUGUCCCAGCCCUGCUCCAUGUCCCUCCAUGUCCCUGUCCUCCUCCCGGUCCCCUCGUGUCCCAGCCCCACUUCUCCCAUCCCUCUCCUGGUCUGUCCCUUCCUGCUGCUGUCCCAGUGCCAGUCCCCUGUCCUGCUCCAUGGCCCCCCAUGUCCCUGCCCUGGUGUCCAUGCUCCUGGCCCUGUCCUGGUCCCCUGUCCCUUGUCCCUGUCCUGGUUCCAGUGCCCCACAUCCCAGACCAGUUCCCAGUAUCCUCCCAUCCUGGUCCCAGUGCCCCUGUCGCUGUCCCUGUCACCCGUGUCCCCACUCUGGUCUCCCCACAUCCCUGUCCCACUCCUCCAUGUCCCUCGCCCUUCUCCCCUGUGUCUGUGUCCCCUCCAUGUCCCUGUCCCCCCGUCCCUGUCCCACUCCCUCCAUCCUGGUCCCAGUGUCCCAGUCCUGGUUUCCUCCACAACCCCAUCCCAGUCCCCCCAACAUUCCCUACCUGUUCCCCUGUGUCUGUGUCCUUGUCCCCCAUGUCCCUGCCCCUGUCCCAAUCCCUCCACACACCUGUCCUGCUCCCAGUGCCUUGGUCCUGGUUCCCCCCUCAUCUGGUCCCAGCAUCCUGUGUCCAUGUCCCAGUUCUCCAUGUUCCUACCCUGGUCCCCCAUGUCGUGGUCCCAGUGUCCCUGUCACGUCUCCAGUCCCUCCAUGUCCCUCUCCUGGUUCCCCUGUGUCCCUGUCCUGGUCACCCCACACCCCUCUCCUGGCCCCCCACGUUCAUACCCUGCUUCCCAUGUCCCGGUCCCACUCUUCCGUGUCCCUCUCCCAGUCCCCACAUGUCCCUGUCCCAGUACCCCAAUGCAUUUGUUCCCUGUCCCUCGUGUCCACGUCCCUGUCCCCUCACACACCUGUCCCGGCACCCCAUGUUCACGUCGUGGUCCCCCAAUGUCCCUGUCCUGGUGCCCCCCCUACACCUGUCCCAGUCCUCCAUGUCCGUGCCCUGGCCCCCCAUGUCCCUGUCCCUCUCCCCCCAUAUCCAUGUCCCCGUCCCCUGUGACCCUGUCCUGGUUCCCCCGUGUCCCAGUCCCUGUCCCCCAUGUCCCUCCUUUGGUCCCCCAUGUCCCCCCACACCUGUCCCUGUCCCUGUCCCUGUCCCAGUCCCCCCCGUGCAUCUNNNNNNNNNNUGGCCCUGUCCCCCGUGUCCACGUCCUGGUGCCCUCACGCACCUGCCCCAGUCCCCUGUGUCCCUGGCCCUGGCCCCCAUGUCCCCCCCAUGUCCUGGUCCCCUGUGUCCCUGUCUUCGUCCCCCCAAGUUCCUGUUCUGCUUCCCCUGUGUCCCUGUCCCUAUCCCCCAUGUCCAUGCCCUGGUCCCCCAUGUCCCUGUCCCAGUGUCCCCCCCUGACCUGUCCCAGUCCCCUGUGUCCCUGUGCCUGUUCCCUGUGUCCCUGUCCCCCAAGUCCUGGUCCCCCAUGUCCCUGUCCCAGUCGUCCUCCCCCACCUGUCCCAGUCCCCUGUGUCCUGGCUUCCCCCGUCUCCCAGUCCCUGUUCCCCAUGUCCCUCUCCUGGUCCCCAACAUCAAUGCCCCGGUCCUCCGUGUCUCUGUCCCUGUCCCCCGUGUCCAUGUCCCUGUCUCCCCAAGUCCCUGUCCCCUGUGUCCCUGUCCCUGUCCCUGUCCCCCCGACACCUGUCCCGGUCCCUGGUGUCCCCAUCCUGGUUCCCCUGUGGCCCUGUGCCCCGGUCCCGCUCCCCCCGAGAUCCCCCCCCUCCCCGCGCACCCACCGUGCGGUGCCACCACCUCCACGCUGAGAACCGGGGGGUCGAUACCGGCUGCUCCCCGCGAUCCCCAACCGGGAGCGGGGCCGGGGCCGAGCUCGGGCGGGCCUGGCCCAGAACCGUUGCCGUUGUUGCCGUUG